GGGGCUGUAGCUCAAGGGUAGAGCUCAUGCUUAGUGUACAUGAGGUCCUGGAUUCAAUCCCCAGCACCA
rnacentral:tRNA from 1 species